AGGUAAAGGUGAUACAUGUUGUAAACACCUGGACAAGGUAAAGGUGAUACAUGUUGUAAACACCUGGACAAGGUAAAGGUGAUACAUGUUGUAAACACCUGGACAAGGUAAAGGUGAUACAUGUUGUAAACACCUGGACAAGGUAAAGGUGAUACAUGUUGUAAACACCUGGACAAGGUAAAGGUGAUAUGUUGUAAACACCUGGACAAGGUAAAGGUAAUACAUGCUGUAAACACCUGGACAAGGUAAAGGUGAUACAAGGUAAAGGUGAUAUGUUGUAAACACCUGGACAAGGUAAAGGUGAUAUGUUGUAAACACCUGGACAAGGUAAAGGUGAUAUGUUGUAAACACCUGGACAAGGUAAAGGUGAUACAUGCUGUAAACACCUGGACAAGGUAAAGGUGAUACAAGGUAAAGGUGAUACAUGUUGUAAACACCUGGACAAGGUAAAGGUGAUACAUGUUGUAAACACCUGGACAAGGUAAAGGUGAUACAUGUUGUAAACACCUGGACAAGGUAAAGGCGAUAUGUUGUAAACACCUGGACAAGGUAAAGGUGAUACAUGCUGUAAACACCUGGACAAGGUAAAGGUGAUACAAGGUAAAGGUGAUACAUGUUGUAAACAGCUGGACAAGGUAAAGGUGAUACAAGGUAAAGGUGAUACAUGUUGUAAACACCUGGACAAGGUAAAGGUGAUACAUCUUGUAAACACCUGGACAAGGUAAAGGUGAUACA